UGGGGAAUUUUGGACAAUGGGGGAAACCCUGAUCCAGCCAUCCCGCGUGUGCGAUGAAGGCCUUCGGGUUGUAAAGCACUUUUGGCAGGAAAGAAACGUCAUGGGUUAAUACCCCGUGAAACUGACGGUACCUGCAGAAUAAGCACCGGCUAACUACGUGCCAGCAGCCGCGGUAAUACGUAGGGUGCAAGCGUUAAUCGGAAUUACUGGGCGUAAAGCGUUCGCAGGCGGUUCGGAAAGAAAGAUGUGAAAUCCCAGAGCUCAACUUUGGAACUGCAUUUUUAACUACCGGGCUAGAGUGUGUCAGAGGGAGGUGGAAUUCCGCGUGUAGCAGUGAAAUGCGUAGAUAUGCGGAGGAACACCGAUGGCGAAGGCAGCCGCCUGGGAUAACACUGACGCUCAUGCACGAAAGCGUGGGGAGCAAACAGG
rnacentral:rRNA from 1 species